ACGCACGCUGGCGGCGUGCUUAACACAUGCAAGUCGAACGGAAAGGCCCUUCGGGGUACUCGAGUGGCGAACGGGUGAGUAACACGUGGGUGAUCUGCCCUGCACUUUGGGAUAAGCCUGGGAAACUGGGUCUAAUACCGAAUAGGACCACGCGCUUCAUGGUGUGUGGUGGAAAGCUUUUGCGGUGUGGGAUGGGCCCGCGGCCUAUCAGCUUGUUGGUGGGGUAAUGGCCUACCAAGGCGACGACGGGUAGCCGGCCUGAGAGGGUGACCGGCCACACUGGGACUGAGAUACGGCCCAGACUCCUACGGGAGGCAGCAGUGGGGAAUAUUGCACAAUGGGCGCAAGCCUGAUGCAGCGACGCCGCGUGAGGGAUGACGGCCUUCGGGUUGUAAACCUCUUUCACCAGGGACGAAGCGUAAGUGACGGUACCUGGAGAAGAAGCACCGGCCAACUACGUG
rnacentral:rRNA from 1 species